rnacentral:rRNA from 1 species
AUACGGAGGGGACUAGCGUUGUUCGGAAUUACUGGGCGUAAAGCGUACGUAGGCGGAUCAGAAAGUAUGGGGUGAAAUCCCAGGGCUCAACCCUGGAACUGCCUCAUAAACUCCUGGUCUUGAGUUCGCGAGAGGUGAGUGGAAUUCCGAGUGUAGAGGCGAAAUUCGUAGAUAUUCGGAGGAACACCAGUGGCGAAGGCGGCUCACUGGCUCGAUACUGACGCUGAGGUACGAAAGUGUGGGGAGCAAACAGCAUUAGAAACCCGAGUAGUCC